AACACCCUACUUUUAAAUUUUCAUUGGUAGUCUAAUUUAACAUUUUUGUAUGAAUUAUUUGAACAUUUCUUUAUAUUAGUAUUGAUGCCUAUUCACAUAACAUGCUGUCGAGCAAGUAAGGACUGCAAUAUAACAAAAAUAAACACAAAUCACGUCAUUCUUACCGACGUACAUUUUAGCUUAGUUUAGGUUUAAACGCCGUGUUUCAACACUAUUUCAGUCAUAAACACGCAGUCAGUUUACCUUACCAUCUCUCUAGGAAAGGACCGUUACUAGACUCACAACUUUCUGACAUAAAGAUUCAUGGUCGACCUGGAGCCCUUUUCAAACGUCAGUCAAAUAGUGUUCGCUAUACAAAUUGUGUUCGUUAUACAAACCUCGGUUACAAGGAAUUAGUUCGCUAUACGGAUAUAAGGAACCUCGGUUAUAAGGAACAAUUUUUAGAGGUCCCAAGCUGUUCCUUAUAAGCGAGGUUUACAGUAACACAAAAUAGACCUGGUUUUGAAUAUCCUCCGUCCAUUCUUAUUUUUUGUGAAUUUUAUUCAUGCGGUAGAAAUUACAUGUUGCAUCGGUGAAUGUAAAAGCUAUUUCAUACGGUAUGAAAACACCGUGUCAACGUCGUCGGGCAUAUUCGAUUCAUUAAUUUUCUAUGAAAAACAAUUGAUUGUUAUAUUUUUUUGAAAUGCGUGUGACUUGGAAUAGUAGGUGUGUGAGCCUGAUGUAUGAUACACAUGCAAUGCGUGUGUGUUCUACAUACAUAUUAUGUACAUAUUCAUACAAUGUCAUACAUAUUCUGACAUACAACUGUAUGUCACACACAUGUUGAUCUUUUUGUAAAAAUCGCAACACAUGAAGUACACCGUAAUCAGCUUUAAUUUUGGUGAAUUCUACAUACAAGCUGGCAGAUGUUUUUAUAACUGAUCAAAUAUCAAUUCACACUUUAUUAUGCAAUUAUCUUUCUCAAAGUGUCAACCUAGACAUCAAUAGCUGAAUUGACAAAUACUCCGCCUAGACUGGUUAUCGAAUUUUGUUCACAACCAGUGCCUAGGUAAACACGUGUAGCAGGAACCAAUUCUUAGACUGCUUAUUUAAAUAUCUUUACGAAAAAAAACAAUGACGAGAAAAAAAAAGUUUGCGUCACUUGUUUUCGCCAAUUCGCAAAAUUUAGCGCCAAAUUCUUAAAAUAAUCGCAAAUGGCAACAAUUGCAAUCGAAAGCGGAGGCCCUGAGAAAAUAUGUGUGGCUGUCAUAAGUGUGUCUGGGUCAUUGAAAUAUCAUCACAGACAUAUUUUCUAACUAAUGAAAUGCUGAAAAUAUUUAUUUACUCUAAAUCUGGAAUUCAGUUGCUUUAAUAUCGAUAAAAAGUCACUAAAAGUUAUUCUUGGGGCAUGUUUCCAAAAUGGUGGCAUAGAACCCUAAAAUUCCUUUGAAUUGUAAUUGUCCAGCAUUAAUCUCCAGUAAUUUGCUUUAGAGUAUUCAGAAUGCCAACAAGUACGUUCCUAUGCUCUAAUAUCUUAACUUUAAUAUUUCAGUUGUUGGCAUAUCUAUGCAUGCAUCACAUCCACGUAUGAUGUCGAUUUCGCAAUAUUAUAUAAUUUGUUGUUAUUUUGAUACUAUUACCUGGUAUUAUAUUUAAUGUGAAAACCAGCACAAACUGCCAAAUUAUGUUGAUGUCACAUGUUUUACAAACAUACCAGCCAUUAAAUGUAAGAAUAAAACAUGCAAAAAGGAUUCUGAAGAAAAAAUAAAAAGAAUAAUGUCGCAAAAAAUAUUGUCUAAAACGGUCUCGAACCCAUGACCCCUACGCUCAUGGUUUAAGUUUUCACCAGUGGUUCUCCCUAUAAAGCUAUAGUGGCAGUUAUGUACAAUUGUGUAUUGUAAGAUUUAUAAAUGGGAUAGCCGUACAUUGUUGGUAUACUUUGCAUACUGUCAUACACAGCAUUAUAAUGUUUAAUUUUAGCAGUCAUGGUAGAGCAAGAACAAAGGUCCAGGAUGAAGAUCUUAUGUGGCAGAAUACUGAGGAGAUGAAGAGGGCAAAAUUGAGAGUGUGUUUUGUAAACACAGUAGUAGGUUAUGGUGUUUUUGCCAAAACUGCUAUAUCAAAAGGUGAACUCUACAUUGUAGAGUACAGAGGACCAUUGUUAACAAGCGACACUGAUAUUCCCUGACACUACGUAUACAUUACUAUUUCCAGCAUCAGGGCAAAGAGUAUUGAAAAGCUCGCCGAAUGGGCGUUUACAUCAAACACAGGUAGUAAAUGACGUAGUGUCACUCUAGUGAUCGGUGAGAGGGUAAUGUUUGCUCCACCCAAACGUAUAUUUCUAGCGGCCGCAGUGGAAAGAAGCGAGAAAAGCAGCCUCAUAAAAUUUUAGUUACAAAAUGCAAGAAAUUGCUGCAUCAUUGUAUUCAAACCCGUGGUAAAAGAUGUUCACAUUCAACUUGAACUUUGUAAUGGAGAGCUGUUUUUGACUGACUUCUGUGAACAGAAGGAGAGACAUAUUGGGAAUAGGGAGACAUUUUCUGUCUUAGACAGUGAUUUCAGAAUUGAAAUUUCAAGGAAGAAAGCAGUGUUGACACUGACAAGCCAGAUAAUACAGAAGCUGAACUGAGUGAAUUAAAUGGGAUUUGUCCAGUGCAAGAAAUAUGUGUUGACACUGACAAGCCAGAUUAUACAGAAGAUGAACCAGAUAGGGUUUGUCCAGUGCAAGCUGAUGUUGAGGCUGAAGUUGGAGAUGAGUUUGAGGAGGAAGACUAUACUUCUGAUGAUCACACUGAUAUUGGUAAGGCUUACAACUACUGACAGGAUCAAGAAAU
rnacentral:lncRNA from 1 species